GCUUGAUUAUUUCACAUGGGCUUUGGAAUUUUUCUUCUUUCGCGGCUCAUUGUGUAAUUGCUCCUAGUCAUUUUGUGACACUAUGUACCUCAGUGUUCUGUGGAAAAUGUUUGAGUACUUUGAGGUUUGACUUCAGAAGAGGUCCUUGGUGGAUCCAGAGGUUCCCUCCACCAAGCUGAUCUGCGAGUAGUGAUGGCUUACAUGUUUGCCUUUUACUCCAGUUUAGAUGUCAUUCAUACCGUGGGCCCUAUAGCACGAGGGCAUAUUAGUGAUAGCCAUAAAGAAGACCUGGCAAAUUGCUACAAGGCAUCGCUGAAACUGGCAAAAGAGAACCUCGUCAGAUCUAUUGUAAGUACUCAACAGUAUCUGUUGCUUCUGAGGAAAUGAUUCAUAGCUGCUCUCCAUGGGUACGGAAAUUGUUUGUGUUAGCUGUAAGUGGUACUGGAGAAAAAUGACAUAGGAAAACUGGAUGGGGAAUAUGAAUAUUACCUGACAACCUCAAAACAUGACAACUCUGUAACUUCGAGCAGGAAGCUUUUUCAGUCUAAUUUGUCCUUCUGAACUCUUUGGUUUUGUCUUUGUUCUGUUCAGGCAACACACAAAUUGUCGGAUUUUUAGUAAUCUGAUGCUUUGCAAUAGCACAGCUCAGCUCAUUAUGAACUGCAUCAUUAUAGGCCUUCAGAGUUGGAGAACUUUUAAGUUCUCCAGAGCUUUGGGUCUACAAUAUCCAUAGUCUCUUGCCAUUAGCCAUGGUGUUUGAGGCUGAUGGGAGUUGUAAGCCAAAACUCCCCCAGAGGUCUAGAAAUUCUGCACACCUGACCUAAACACUUAUCUUUGGUUCCGCUGGUGCCAGAGUGAAUAUCUUACAAAUCUGUUUUGAAUCAUCCAUUUUCAUUUUAUCAUGGCUUAUCUCUAUUUUCUAAAUAUUUUAAUGUUGCUUGGUUUUACGUUUUGUUGUUAUGCCACUUUGGGAAGGUUUACCCUAAAAAUACGUUUUCUACAUCUUUUAAACAAAUACAUGAGUUUUUUUAAAAAAUAUGGUUGACAGGUGUGUACUUUGCUUACCUUUCCUGAUUAUCAGGUCCACCAAAUACAGCAAUUAGAGCAUUAACUCUAUAGAUAGAUUUGCUCCCAAAUUUCAAUUUUCCUACUUGAGGAAACUGUCAAAUUACUUUUUAGCAAUGAAGAAAGUGAAAUUCAGCACAAUUGUAAUUUUUUUUUAAAAAAAUUAGCGUUUGUACUUGUCCCUAAACAUGCCUUUUAAAAAUGAAACUAAAAAUAAAAAUAAAGAAGAUAAUUUUCUUGAGUGACUU
rnacentral:lncRNA from 1 species